rnacentral:rRNA from 1 species
UACUCGAGUGGCGAACGGGUGAGUAACACGUGGGUGAUCUGCCCUGCACUUCGGGAUAAGCUUGGGAAACUGGGUCUAAUACCGGAUAGGAACCAUACUUUAGUGUGGUGGUUGGAAAGUUUUUUCGGUGUAGGAUGAGCUCGCGGCCUAUCAGCUUGUUGGUGGGGUAAUGGCCUACCAAGGCGGCGACGGGUAGCCGGCCUGAGAGGGUGUACGGCCACAUUGGGACUGAGAUACGGCCCAG